AUACAUGAACUUUGGUCCAA
rnacentral:miRNA from 1 species